rnacentral:tRNA from 1 species
ACUUUAAUAAUUUAAAAAAUAAAAUAAUGGUCUUGUAAACCAUCUAUAAGUAAAAAAACUUUUAAAGUA